UAACUGUUCAACUGUUCACCUCUAUUUACUCUGCUUUUGUGAUUAAUUAANCAGCAUUCUUGUAUUAUUUAAUUAGCCGUCUAUCCGUCUCAAUCACAUUCAUUUCAAUCCUCAACUCCACAUGCACAAGAAAAACAAAAGAGGAAAUAAUCUUCAAGAAAUGUAUAUGGUCCUACAAGAGGUGCCGCCCUUUUCNGCGCGCACCAGUCAGUGCCAGGAAAAACCGUUGGUGAUGUGAUGACCUCAAGUUUGUCGUCAUGUAUGACGUAUGAUAUAGGAUAAUAGCAAGAGAUAAGUAGUAUUGGACAACCCUCGGACAAGGAGCUUGUAAAGAUUGUCGUGAACAAGUACUCAGAAGAAAGAUUAAUAAAAUUGUUAUCAACUUCGGAAUCGUGCAAUUUGAAGGCUAUAACAGUGACCAUCUGCCCAAAUUCUCUGACGAAGGCUGGCCACCUCCAUUUCAAGAGACUGUUGUUUUGAUGAGAGAGUUCCUUUCAAAUAAUUGUGGUUGCCCACCAUGAUCCACAAAUAUAUUUACGUAUCAAAAAGCCUACUUCAACCAUGUAUUUCGAUUGCAAGAAACUCAGACGGCUAGUGGAUAUAUAUCCCUUUAUUAUAAAAUUUCUAAUUUGUCCAACCAUUGUUGGGAAGUUGCCAUGACGAUUAUGAACAUGAUUCAGAGUGGUUCAAUUCCACAACAAGCACAGAGAAAAAGAAAAAACAAAAAAGUUGUAUACCAAUCGUCUUUUUCGUUUCUGGCUGGGCUCGACCCAAUCACAAAAGAAAAUGAAAUAUUUCAAAGAUUGUGCCAAUACAAAAAUGGCGAAAUUCUCGAGAAAACAAGAAAAAUUNCNUCAAAGGCUUCAUCAAGCAAUAAUGAUUUGCCGCAUGUUAUCAGGGAGUUGACAGAAAAACUGAACGCGUCUAAGGAGCAAGGCNCUUUAACUAAAACAGAGAAUACGAAGCUNAUGCAAGAUAUAACAAAGCUGANGCAGGACUUUGAAAGGGGGAGAAAGGAUAUCAUACAGAAAGAGGAACAACUUGAGAAGCUUACUGCUGAAAAUAGUAAUCUCUCUGCGGCUCUUGACAUCGAAAAGAAAAACUCGACAUUCCUAUCUUCAAAACUAGAACAGAAAAACAAGGACAUCAAGCUUCUAAAAAGGCAACUUGAUGAGGCCAUGAAGUCGGAAACGUGUCGAAAAAAAAAAAUCUUCGAAAACCCGUCUAUUAGAAGUGUCAAAUGAAGAUGAAACUGAAGAAAGUUUUUCUCAAAUGGAACUUGAAAAAGUAAAGGAUGCAUACCAAAAAGAAAGAACUGCUAUCAAUGAAAUGGUAAAAGACAAUGAACCUCCAGAACAACCACCUACAGGGACCGGUAAACGAGGACCCGGCAACAGUGGAACAGCAACGACACCAUUAGAUGAAAGAGAGGGGAAUUCAAAAGCACNGGAACCUAUGGAUAGUAUCAGUGGAGUNGAGGAAAGUGAGCCAGAAUUUGAAGACGUUUGGGUAAGUUUAUCUGUGCUUUCUUUGACACAGGUUUUCGUUUUUAAUUACA
rnacentral:misc_RNA from 1 species